rnacentral:rRNA from 1 species
AAACGAUGUGCACUAGAUCGAGGAGGUUUUGACGCCAUCUCGAUUGUAGUUAAAACAUUAAGUGCACCGCCUGGGGAGUACGGUCGCAAGACUAAAACUCAAAGGAAUUGACGGGGGCUCACACAAGCGGUGGAGCAUGUGGCUUAAUUCGAAGCAACGCGAAGAACCUUACCAGGGUUUGACAUGGUCGGAUUAGUGAAUCGAAAGAUGAUCGACGCCUUCGGGUGGAACGACCACAGGUGCUGCAUGGCUGUCGUCAGCUCGUGCUGUGAAGUGUCGGGUUAAGUCCCUUAACGAGCGAAACCCCUGCCGUUAGUUGCUAACAGGUAAUGCUGAGGACUCUAGCGGGACCGCCGGUGUCAAACCGGAGGAAGGUGGGGACGACGUCAAGUCAUCAUGGCCCUUAUGCCCUGGGUUGCACACGUGCUACAAUGGUAUGGACAGAGCGAAGCGAUGUCGCAAGGCGGAGCAAAUCGCAAAAACCAUGCCUCAGUUCGGAUUGCAGGCUGCAACUCGCCUGCAUGAAGUCGGAAUCGCUAGUAAUCGCGUAUCAGCUACGACGCGGUGGAUACGUUCCUGAGCUUUGUACACACCGCCCGUCAAGUCAUGGGAGCUGGGAGCACCCAAAGCCGCACCGAUUCAGGUGUG